rnacentral:lncRNA from 1 species
CUCUCUUUCUCUGAUUUUCCCUCCGACAGAAUCAUUUCCUUCGUCUCUGUCCAAUGGCGGAAACCUCUGCCCUCUACUUCAAACGCUUCUCUCCAAUUCCUUCCGUUUCUCGCUCAAGGGAUUCAAAUUCCUUCCUCUCCACAUCACCUCUUUCUUUUCCCUUUCCUUCUAAAUUCUCCAAGUCCUUUUCUCGCUCUUAUCGCUCCCUUCACUUUACCUCCAAAGCUUCCGAUUCCGGUAACUUCCUCGGCGACGAUUUUCUCGGUUCUUUCCCCUGGUCCGAUGGCG